rnacentral:rRNA from 1 species
CAGGCCUAACACAUGCAAGUCGAACGGUAACAGGUCUUCGGAUGCUGACGGGUGGCGAACGGGUGAGUAAUACAUCGGAACGUGCCCGAUCGUGGGGGAUAACGAGGCGAAAGCUUUGCUAAUACCGCAUACGAUCUACAGAUGAAAGCGGGGGAUCUUCGGACCUCGCGCGGACGGAGCGGCCGAUGGCAGAUUAGGUAGUUGGUGGGAUAAAAGCUUACCAAGCCGACGAUCUGUAGCUGGUCUGAGAGGAUGAUCAGCCACACUGGGACUGAGACACGGCCCAGACUCCUACGGGAGGCAGCAGUGGGGAAUUUUGGACAAUGGGCGAAAGCCUGAUCCAGCCAUGCCGCGUGCAGGAUGAAGGCCUUUGGGUUGUAAACUGCCUUUGUACGGAACGAAAAGCCUCUUUAUAAUAAAGAGGGGUCAUGACGGUACCGUAAGAAUAAGCACCGGCUAACUACGUGCCAGCAGCCGCGGUAAUACGUAGGGUGCAAGCGUUAAUCGGAAUUACUGGGCGUAAAGCGUGCGCAGGCGGUUUUGUAAGACAGAGGUGAAAUCCCCGGGCUCAACCUGGGAACUGCCUUUGUGACUGCAAGGCUGGAGUGCGGCAGAGGGGGAUGGAAUUCCGCGUGUAGCAGUGAAAUGC